UACGGGGGGGGCAAGCGUUGUUCGGAAUUACUGGGCGUAAAGGGCUCGUAGGCGGCCAACUAAGUCAGACGUGAAAUCCCCAGGCUCAACCUGGGAACUGCGUCUGAUACUGGAUGGCUUGAAUCCGGGAGAGGGAUGCAGAAUUCCAGGUGUAGCGGUGAAAUGCGUAGAUAUCUGGAGGAAUACCAGUGGCGAAGGCGGCUCACUGGACUGGUAUUGACGCUGAGGUGCGAAAGCGUGGGGAGCAAACAGG
rnacentral:rRNA from 1 species